GCCCGACGUACCUCUUAACACUCUAAUUGACUUUUUGUGGUGUAGUUAUCGAGGCGUCUUGAUUUCUUCAAAAUGGAGAAAUUUUACUGGUUAUUCAAUUCCAGGAUGCCUUAAAAUUCGACUUAAUAAUGCAAUUUGGAGAGAAUGGUGCCGACAGAAUUACUACAAUAAAAAGCCGCUGGUAUGUAAAUUUAAUGACAAGUUAAAUGACAUCCAUCAUGGAAAAAAUGUUAAUCUAAAACAAUCAUCUUAGAGCAUUAUUUUUGAGCAAAACUUUCUUAAUAUGAAACCAACUCUGUUUCGCAAAGAAUAUAACAAACUGAGAAAGUAUUUCUGUGAACGAAUUAACGUUCAAAUUUCAUGUAACGAGAGCAAUCAAUUCGACGAGCAAUCACAAUUGACAGAAACUAAAACACCAACUAUCUACGAAGAUAUUAACCUACCUCUAUGUGACGAAAUUGACGGGAUACAGAAACCAAAUUAUUUUUUUCCGAGAACAUCAUUCGACGACACUGAUUUUUUUUCAAAACAACCUCAUUAUUUUGGAAAUUACAAGGCUGUCGAGUCUGACACAAAAUACAAAAACACGCCGCAAAGAGAUUUUACUAAUCUUUGGAAUCAUCCAAAUUGUUCAUCUUCAAAAAUAUCACAAAAUCAACAAGAUUUUUCGAGAAAUCAUUUUGUGCCAAACUAUAGUUACGGAAAUCAUGUCAUUGGACAACAAGAGUAUAAUUACCCUGGCUAUCCAAUGUUGUUUACUAAGGUUUCUUAUUUUAGUAAUUUUUAGCCAUCGGUUUCUUGUUUUUCAGAGGAAGAUCAACGAAAAAGGAAAAGACAUAUUAUUCAUUUAAAAUCUGAAAAACACAGACGUAAUGAA